AAGGUGGGGAUGACGUCAAAUCAUCAUGCCCCUUAUGAUUUGGGCUACACACGUGCUACAAUGGACAAUACAAAGGGCAGCGAAACCGCGAGGUCAAGCAAAUCCCAUAAAGUUGUUCUCAGUUCGGAUUGUAGUCUGCAACUCGACUAUAUGAAGCUGGAAUCGCUAGUAAUCGUAGAUCAGCAUGCUACGGUGAAUACGUUCCCGGGUCUUGUACACACCGCCCGUCACACCACGAGAGUUUGUAACACCCGAAGCCGGUGGAGUAACCAUUUGGAACUAGCCGUCGAAGGUGGGACAAAUGAUUGGGGUGAAGUCGUAACAAGGUAGCCGUAUCGGAAGGUGCGGCUGGAUCACCUCCUUUCUAAGGA
rnacentral:rRNA from 1 species